CCCUUAGAUGUUCUGGGCCGCACACGCGCUACUCUGAAGGAGGCAGCGUGUACUCCUGGAUCGAAAGAUUUGGGUAACCCGCGAAUCUCCUUCGUGCUAGGGAUUGAGGUUUGCAAUUAUCCUUCAUGAACGAGGAAUUCCCAGUAAGUGCAAGUCAUAAGCUUGCGCUGACUACGUCCCUGCCCUUUGUACACACCGCCCGUCGCUACUACCGAUUGAAUGAUUUAGUGAGGACUUCGGACUGGGACCGAUGCGGCUUUCGGGCUGCGUCGGUAUUCUGGAAAGAUGUCCAAACUGUAUCAUUUAGAGGAAGUAAAANUCGUAACA
rnacentral:rRNA from 1 species